rnacentral:lncRNA from 1 species
AGGACAUCGGCUGCAGAGUUUGUGAUUCGGACGAAGAAGAACUCGAGGCAGAGGUUCAAGGCCAGCCAGGUCUACAGAAUUGAAGUCAUGGCUGGUCCAGAAAGUGAUGGCCAAUUCCAGUUCACUGGUAUUAAAAAAUAUUUCAACUCUUAUACCCUCACAGGUAGAAUGAAUUGUGUCCUGGCCACAUAUGGAGGCAUUGCUUUGUUGGUCCUAUACUUUAAGUUAAGGCCUAAAAAAACCCCAGCUGUGAAAGCAACAUAAAUGGAUUUUGAAAUGUCUGGCCUUAUCUGUUAAGUCCCACGCCUGAAGAAGCUGAUGUGAACUCAUCAUGUAAUACUCAAUUUGUACAAUAAAUUAUGAACCUGG